CCUACGGGAGGCAGCAGUGGGGAAUAUUGCGCAAUGGGGGCAACCCUGACGCAGCCAUGCCGCGUGAAUGAAGAAGGCCUUCGGGUUGUAAAGUUCUUUCGGUGACGAGGAAGGCGUGAUGUUUAAUAGGCAUCACGAUUGACGUUAAUCACAGAAGAAGCACCGGCUAACUCCGUGCCAGCAGCCGCGGUAAUACGGAGGGUGCGAGCGUUAAUCGGAAUAACUGGGCGUAAAGGGCACGCAGGCGGCUAUUUAAGUGAGGUGUGAAAUCCCCGGGCUUAACCUGGGAAUUGCAUUUCAGACUGGGUAGCUAGAGUACUUUAGGGAGGGGUAGAAUUCCACGUGUAGCGGUGAAAUGCGUAGAGAUGUGGAGGAAUACCGAAGGCGAAGGCAGCCCCUUGGGAAUGUACUGACGCUCAUGUGC
rnacentral:rRNA from 1 species